rnacentral:lncRNA from 1 species
CAUCUCCUGCUUGCUCGUCCUGAUUUUCUGUAUGGUGCUGCAGAUCAACCACUUUAUUAUCAUUCUGCAGCUCCACCUGUUUAUCAGUGCUACCCUUAUAUGCUUCAAAACUGGACUCUGCUUGGCUUUUAAUCAUGGAACAUUGAUUAAAGAAAAUGUUACAGCUUAAAACCACUCGGUUUUCUGAUGGAGACUAUACCCUGUAUCCCUUGACUCCAUCACCGUAGCCCAUAAAUACUCCCUUCUUUGCUCUCAGCUCAAGUUUACCAUCGUUCACAUGAUAGUAAACAGUGCAACCAAAGGCUCUCAGAAUUGAGUAAUCAGCAUAUUUACCUGACCACACCUUAGAAGGUAUUUUGCACUCGAUGCCUAUGUGGGAACGAAGAUUAAUCAAGUAGCAAGUUGUAUUCACAGCUUCACCCCAAAACCAUUUCGCUAAUCCUGAAUUUGAGAGCAUGCACCUCGCUCUCUCAGCAAUAUCUGAUUCAUCCGUUCAGCUACACCAUUAUGCUGUGGUGUUUCCCUGACUGUAAGAUGCCUAGCAAUCCCUGCAUCCUUACAAAACUGAUUGAACUUCUUUCAUGUUUGAUUCUCCACCAGCGCUUUUCGUUCCUUGAACUGAUCGAAAGCUUCACUUUUGUGCUUCAUGAAGAAUAUCCAAGUCUUCCUCUAAUAGUCAUCAAUCAUAGACACAAAAUAUUGUGACCUUUCAGCAACUCCACUCUGGAGGACCCCAACAAUCCGCAUGGAUGUAAUUCAAUGUGCCUUUUUCCCUAUGAAUCGUCUUAGGAAAACUCUUCUUGUGUAGUUUCCCAAAAACACAGUGCUUAGAAAACUCUAGAUUCUUGGUUUUGUGACCACAUAGAAGAUAUUUCUUUGACAGAAUUUGCAUCCCACGUUCAUUCAUAUGCUCAAGCCUAAUAAGCCAUAGAUUAGUCGUAUCUUCUUUGCGAACCUCUGGUGAUGCAACCAUUUGCUGUACUAGUCAUAAGCCAUAGAUUAGUCGUAUCUUCUUUGCGAACCUCUAGUGAUGCAAACAUUUGCUGAACUAGUCACUGUAGAACCCUUCAACAAAUACAGAGUACCAUGCAUGAAACCCUUCAAGAUCACAUCUAAACCUCUGUAGACAUUUAGAGCUCCAUCUCCAGCUGAAUACUUGAAACCUUUACUGUCCAACAGACUCAUUGAUAUCAAGUUCUUCGUCAUUGACGAAACAUGCAUGACUUCGUUCAAUGUGAAGAAUCUACCAUCAUGUGUCUUGAGCUUGAUCGAGCCGAUCCCAACAAUCUUGCAGAUAAAAUCAUUUGUCAUCUUAAUAUUGCCGUCAGGUACCUCAACGUACUCUGCAAACAAAUCUCUCAUUCAUGCAUUCUUAGAGCAAAAAGACAUUGCUUCAGAAGUAGCUUGUUCUUUAGAGACUUUGUCAUGUACAAGCUCUCUAACUUCUACCAUAACCUAGCAGCCAAUUUCUCAUCCUAAACUUUGACAAUAAUUUCGUCUGCUAGACAAAACAAGAUUGUUGAGAACACCUUCUUUUCCAGAACUUCCAUUUCAGCAUAAUCAGUCUUCUUUCCUGACAAAGGUGUCAAGAUGCCUUGUUUCUUUAACAAAGCUUGCAUCUUUAUCUGCCAGAGAUUGAAACUUGUCGAUUUUCGCGUUUAUCCCAAACAUCUUUUCACGAGAUUACAAACCUGAGGCUCUGAUACCAGUUUGUUGCGACGGAUGCGAGAAGAGAAGAUGUGGAACACAUAGAUAGGUAAACGCAAUAAACGAAAAGAACACAAGAUUUAAUGUGCUUCACCAAUAGGCUACCUCCACGGGCAAAGAUAGAUUUUUAUUAAUGAAAUAUUUACAUAAAUCUAUCUAAAAGAAGAACUUAUGAGAUUGCUCUUUAUUUCAGCUGCUACUUAUGUUUAGAGGAAAAACAAGAUAUAUAUAAUGGUGAAGACAUGUUUUCUGAAGUGGACACUUUAGUGCCCUAGGUAACUCAGAUUUCCAUAUAACUCCAAAAUGCUGAAAAAAAGUUUUUGACGUGGACACUUCAGCGCUUUAGGUAAAAAGCAGAUUCAAAGCAUUACAACACUAAAUUUUAUGGUGGCCACGAGGAGGAGCAAGUUUGAAGAUGUGCCUAUGGAGUUUGAUAAGAACAACGCUCAAGUUAGUUAGACACGUUCUGUUUCUAAUGCAUCGGAAACUUCUAGUCAAAUUUUUGAAGCUGUUAAGCGAGCUUAGGAGCUGGCUGCUCAGAUGAAACCACAGAAAGCUGUUGCAGUGGCUCAGAAACCGAGCAAAAUCCAGAAGUGUGGAUGCACUUGGAAGAGAGAUAGAUAAACACGGUGGUUAGUGUGACUAAAUCUAGUGGUCUUACUACAUUGUGUUGGGACACAGUUUCUGAAAAGUGAGUGUUUUGACUUUUCCGGCCAAACCGGCAGUGGUCGUUAUCAGAUUAUUGGCUCAUUGUAAAGUUUGUAACGAGCACUACAAUCUGGUAUAUUCAUACAUCAAAAGCAGAGUUAAAUUAAAUGAUAAAUGAAUUGAUGAAGUUGGUAACUUGGUGUUAUCAAAACUCUGUAAUUUGCCUAGGUGUUAAUAUAACACUAAAGUCCCUACAUAGGGGAAGGCAAAACUUUCAGAGGUGUAUAAAUAUGCAUACACAUAUAAGUUUGUUCAAAAUAGUUUUCCAUUUUUUUUUUGCGGAUCACGUUUUAAUUUGAGUAAAAUCUAAAAGUAAAAAAAAAAAAAAAAUCUAAAAGUAGCACACAAACGAACCUAUAAAACAUCAUGAAUCCUCCAAUGAUCAAAUCACUUUAAAUUUGUCAACACAUUUUUAAAAGAAAAAAAAAAGAACAAAAAAAAAAAAAAUAUUACCACCAUGGCUAGCGCGAGAAGUUUGGUUGCCAAGGCAAAUAAUACUAAUGUAGGCUCAUUAAUCUUAAUGACCGUGGUGUUAGGUUCUUGUAUAGCUAAUGGUGAAUAUCUCGGUGCCCGCCGUGGCCUUGCCGCUGUUGCCGGAAACCCUACGGUCUUUGAUAUUACUAAGAAUGGAGCAGUGGGAAAUGGUGCCACCGAUUCUUCCAAGGUGAUAUUUCUUUAAUUUUAUGGAAUUAGCUUGAGUUUCGCUUCAUAAUUUAAGUUACUGUUAUUAUUAGUAAAAUACACAUGACAAGAAACAUUUAUCCAAUAAUAAAUGGUUUCUUAAAAAUAAUAAUAAUAAUAAAAAAAAUAAAAUAAAAAUAACAAAAAAUAUAAUAAAUGGUUUCUUUCUUCUAAAAAAUUUGUACGACAGGCGUUUCUAAACACAUGGCUCCAAGUGUGUGCCAGUCCUGUACCAGCAACGCUACUAGUCCCUAAAGGAGAUUUCUUGGCUGGUCCAGUAAUUUUUGCUGGUCCAUGCAAGAGCAAAGUGACCGUCGAAGUUCAGGGCACAAUCAUCGCUCCACCAAGCGGAUACCCGACUCCUGAAUGGUUCUUAUUCGAACAUGUCGAUAAUGUCGUCCUCACCGGACCCGGCACAUUCCACGGCAAAGGUGAAGCCGUUUGGAAAGCAGAUGGCUGUGGUAAAAAGGUGGACUGCAAUCUUCCUCCAACGGUAAGAUUUAAGUUAAUAAUAAUAUUAUUAACUAAUACUUUUGUACUGAUCAGACUUACACCUGCAUGCAGUCUCUAAAAUUCAGAAACAUCUUAAACCUUGACAUUUCCGGCAUUAGCUCGGUCAACGCAAAGGCCUUCCACAUGUUCUUGGUAAAAACUACAAAUGUCAACGUCCAAAACAUCAAGAUUACUGCCCCUGCUGAAAGUCCCAACACCGAUGGUAUCCAUUUGAGCAAUGCGGUCAACGUUCACAUCGUUGACAGUUUAAUAGCUACAGGAGACGAUUGUAUCUCAGUCGGUCGUGGUUCCACCAAUGUAACCGUCGAGCGCGUGACUUGUGGCCCAGGACACGGCCUAAGUGUCGGUAGUCUUGGUAAGUACCCGAACGAGGAGAAUGUUGCCGGCAUUCACUUUAAGAAGUGCACCAUGAAAGAUACUGACAAUGGUCUUAGAAUCAAGAGUUGGGGUGGUUCGUCUCCAAGCACGGCUGUGGACAUCACGUUUGAAGAUAUUAUGAUGACAAACGUCAAGAACCCAAUCAUCAUUGACCAAAAUUACGGCUCAAGAGGCGGAGUAAGAUAUACCCGUGGAAAUUUCAAACCAAAACUUCACUUGAUCAUUCAGCAGUUUACGAAAAUAAACUUUUUGUGUGUGUUUGUAGGAUUCAAAAGUUGCGAUAAGCAAUGUGCUGUUCAAGAACGUAAGAGGAACAACAAUUACAAAAGACGAAGUUCAGAUCAUGUGCAGCAAAUCAGUACCGUGCAAAGGAGUCAGCGUCGUUGACGUGGAAUUGAACUUUGUAGGUGACAAAGGAGGACAUCCCUCGGCGUCAGGAGGUUUGGUCGGAGCUCUUUGUGACAACGCCAAUGUUAUCUUCGGUGGAAAACUUAGCUUCCCUAUGUGUCCCAAAUAAGCUUUUUGGUAAAUUUGAUGUUGAAAACAAGUAAAAAAUUUCAACAAACAUUUCGUUGUUUUGUUUGUGAGUUAGUUUGUAAGUUUAUCAACAAUAAUUGGAAUGUAUUGUUGUGAAUUAGAUGAGAUAAAGAGAUAUUUAUGUGUAUUUAUAAGUGUUAAUAUAUUAGUAUAUUGUUCUUUAUGUGUUUGGAAAGUAACGAAAGAAAUGUGAGAUAAUGAGCACAAAUGACUUUGAUCUCUUGCUCUUAUUUUUAUUUUUUGAAUUAUACAGAGGUAUCCUGGUCCUACAGAAGUGAUCCAAACUAGUCACAUGUUGUCACGUGUCGGUCUUCUGUCCCUGGCAAUGCCGAAAUGUUAAUUCCCCAGUGGCCGGAAUUCGAACCCAGGUGGCGGAUCUCUUGCUCUUAUUACUAUCACUUACAACAACAAAUCAACUCCUAUUUAUAGAAGUAGUAAGUCGGUAAAGUACACCGACGUAAGAAGAAAACAAAUAUUUAUAUAGUAAGCUAAUGGAUAAUCACAAUCCAAAAUCAACCUUAUCUUUUUGGAUCAUUAUCUUUAACACUUCCUCUUGAUUAUCCAUUUUUAUAUUACGUAGUGCCUCGUUAAAAACCUAGUCAUGGAAAAACCCUUUGGGACAAAAACCAUGACAAGGGAAAAAAAGUACACUGCCGUACUCUCCCCCUGAAAAUAGUGGACCUAGUUUUCUCGUCACAGGUCACGCAAAUGCCGCAUUCCGAUACCAUAAACGUGUUUUCGGAAUGUUGUAGUUGGAAGAGCUUUGGUGAACAAGUCAGCCGGAUUUUCGCAUGACCGUACAUAUUCGAUGUCCACCUCUUUAAUUAUCUCGUGCUCCUUUAUGUACGAGAAAAAUCUUGGAGGGAUGUGCUUUGUUCUAUCACUCUUAAUGUAGCCUUCUUUAAGAUGAGCGACACACGCCGAAUUGUCUUCAAAUAUUUUCGUCGACUCUUUUUCAUUGACUAUUCCGCUUGAUUCUUGUAUGUGGUGACUCAUUGACCGAAGUCACACACAUUCUCGACAUGCUUCGUGAAGCACAAUAGUUUCUGCAUGAUUCAAAGAUGUCGCAACCAGAGUUUGUUUCUGGGACCGCCAAGCGAUCGCGGUUCCACCAAUUGUAAAAACAUAGCCAGUUUGCGAUCGAGCCUUAUGAGGAUCUGAUAAGUAUCCUGCAUCUGCAAAACCAACAAUACCAAACUCGGGUUUUCUAAAAUAUAUUAACCCUAAAUCAAAUGUACCUUGGAGAGAACGGAUAUGUUCUCGACGCCAUUCUAAUUUCCAUAAAUAGGAAAUGAGCUAUGUCUCGCAAAUACAUUAGUGUCUAAAAGUAUAUUUAAUCAAAUACAACUCGCAAGACAUAUAAGCUCACAUAUACUUUAUUACCAUUAGCAUCUCCAAAGUACUUAUUUAUAUAAGAUCUUACCGGGAUCUCUUAAAACAACAUCUCUUUUAACAUCGAAAGAUCUAUUUACCAUUGGAGUACUCAAAAGAGUCACUUUUGUCCAUAUAAAAGUGUUUCAAUAACCUAAUCGUAUAGUUUGAUUGAUACACAAAUAUUCCUUCUCCGAGAUGCUCUGUCUGGAGCCCCCAAGACAAACUUUGUCUUGCCGAGAUCUUUCAUUUCGAACUCUUCUCCUCUUUGAUUCGUAGGGGACCAAAGUGUAACAACAACUGUGUACACCAUGUAAUCUCUUUAGGAAUUCCUUUAAUUCGAUCACAAAGCCAAAUGACGAUUUCUUUAUAAAAACGCAUGGACAUAUCGCAUUAUUCACAUAUCCUUUACUCAAAAGAUAUUGACUUAAGCGAUUGUACCACAUGCGUCCGGAUUGCGUUAAUCCGUAAAUUGAUCGCUGUAACUUGACCGAACAAAUCUCCAUGGAUUUUUCUUUCAAUGCCCCUAGCAUUUUCAAUCCCUCAGGGAGUUUUAUACAUAUAUCAUUAUCCAACGGUCCAUACAAAUAUGCAGCCAAAACGUCCAUGAGAUGCAUUUCAAGAUUUUUAGACGCCAUUAGGCUCAUCAAAAAUCUAAACAUAAUUGCAUCCAUUACUGGGGAAUAUGUUUCUUCAAAAUCAAUUCCCGGUCUCUGAGAAAAACCUUGGGCAACUAAUCAGGCUUUAUAUCGUGUUACUUUUCACACGAAUACCCACUUAUACCCAAUAGGAUUUAUAUUCUCAGGCAUUAUGACUAUAAGUCCAAAAACAUUCCAAAAUGGACUUUGGAUCGGGAUCAUCCCCCUCAUACAUAGAGGUAGAUUCAUAAUCCUUAUUUAUAUAGCGCGCUUUCAUUUUAUUGUCGACAGUCUAUUUUCUCUUUGGUUUCAUCUUUUUAUUCGUACUAAUAUGAUUAAUCGAAAUCUCUUUAUCAUCAUCGAUGAUUUACCCAGGUACAUGACUGUAAUAUUAACCAUAUCAACAGUCUCUUCACUACUUUUCAUCAAGGGCGUAGUUGAUGGAAAUCUCAUACUUUUUUCUGUACCCUUCUCGUCAUCUGGAUCCAUAUCUUUAUUUGGUGCUUCUUGAACCUUUUCAUCUGUGCCUUCUUUCAAACAUUUUCAGUAUCAGAUUCUUCUGGAACCUUUCCACUUAUGCCUUUUUUCAGACAUCUUUAGGAUUGUUUAUGUCUUUAUUACAUGCACAACUGCAUGUUUACACCCGAUCAUGGGGACCAUCUUACUUGAAUUUACUUUAUCAAGUUCUUUUUUCAAGUGCGAACAUAAUUGCGAACCCUAGGCUCAUUCAUUUUGUUACCAUCAGUUUGUUCUUUAGAAACAUCAACUAUUGAUGGAACAUUUUCAGCGGGUAUAUCAUGUUGUAUCUGUGAACUUGAAUUUACUUUAUCAAGUUCUUUUUUCAAGUGCGAACAUAAUUGCUCAAUGUUCCACUCACUAGGAUUCUUUAAUUCUCCCCCUCGAGAUGAUGACACUCCAUGUCUAAAAUCUUGUACUGAAUCCCACUCUAGAACCAAUAACAUAUUCAGUUUUCCCAUUUUGGGAUGAAUUAUGUUUCAAAUCCUUUAGAGUGAGAUCUUAAUUUGGGGUCUGCUUAAAGAAAUCACAUAUAAUGAAAUUGUUUGAUGAUUCAUCACCCAUGUUGGUUUCCUUUAUUUUCUUGACAUGCUAUAUGUGAAAAACUUCUAGUUUUUCAGCAUUUCACAAUAAUGACGAUAACAUUAUUGGAGAUGGCUAUAUAUCAGUAAACUUCAGGUUUACCACUCAUCUAUAAUUUUCCCAUCUUUUUUUUGUACCACUACAAGAAAUAUGCACAUUAUUAGCACACGAUAAACGCUAUGGUAGGACUUUCAUAGCGAAACUUGAAAUGCUAUGUCAUCGGCAGCCAUCAUAGGUAUCCCUCUACGAUAACAUUUAUUUAAAUGCUAUGAAAUGUGCAGAUACGAUAAUAUUUCAGUGAUGUUAUUAACUUAAAUAUAACACUAUUUUUUUGUUACAAAUUGAUUACGAUUUAUAUAUUCGUGCUAUGAUUGAUCUUUCUGCAAUUAACAAAAAUUAAUUAUAAUUCGAAAUAGAAUAAUUUAAUAUUAAAUUGAAAUUUUUUUUAUAUUGAAAUUAAAAUAAAUUUUAUUUAUAUAUUAAAAUUGGUUUACAAAUUAAUCUUGGUUUACAAAACUAACCAGAAAUCAUAACAUAAACUCAGACCACUACAAUUUCUCUAACACGGGUUACACUAAACCAAAUCUAAACCUAAAAAAAAAAAAAACUGCAGCCGCCUCCUCCAUAUCCUUGCCCCUCUUCCAACAGCCAUGAGCCUUGCCUCCUCCAGCCGCCACGAGACUUCCGUCCUCAAGCCGCCAUGGACCUUGCCUCCUCCAGCCACCAUGAACCUUGCCUCCCCAACUAUCUUUACCAAAACAAAACAACAUCAGAUUCAUACUACAGAAACAUAGAGAAGAUGCAAAGAGAUAAAGAGAGAGAGAGAUCAACCGUGGUGGUGGUGGGAGGGCGACCGUGGUGGUGGUGGGCGGGCGAACCUGGUGGUGGUGGGAGGGCGACCCCGGUGGGGGUGAGACGAGGAGGAGACGCGGUGGGAGAGAGAUGGGAGAGAUGAGAGAGGCGUGGAGAGAGAUAGGAGAGAUGAGAGAAACAGUAAGCUUGGAGAGGGAUGGGAGAGAUGAGAAUGAAGGAGAAGAACAUGAAGGCCAGAUCUCUGUAGUGGAGUUGAGAGUGAGAGAGAGAGAGAGAAGAAGAAAAUAAAAAUAAAGAUUAAAAGGAAUAAAUCUUAACCUUUAGAUCUAAGUUAAUCUAACGGUUCAAAAGUGUGAUCCAUGUAUUUUAAUCUGAUUGGCCAGACAAUUUUGUUUCUGUUUUUCUAUUUUUAUUUUUUGUUUUGUCUUUCCAUAUUUGAUAAUUUGUUUUGUAAGUGAUUUUUAUUAGUUAUAUCUUAUUUCAAAAUUAAUAUUUUGUAGUUUAUAAUUUAAGUCUAAAUUUUUAUUUUUUUAACCUAAUAAACUGAUAUUUAAUUUAUGAAUUGAUGUUUAAGUUUGAAAAUAUUAGAUUAAUAUUAACAUUAUGAUUUUGGUCAUCAUUUUUAAAUUUGCAUGUUUAUAAAAAAUCCGAUUUACAAUUCGUUUAUAAAUUUGUAUGUUUGACUCAAAAUUUGAAAAGUUUCAAAUUUAUAUUUUAUGAUUUACAAAAAAAAAAUAUGAUUAAGAGUAAAAUUUAGUUUUAUGAUUUAAGGUGUUGAUGUUGUAAUAUGAGGUUUAGGGUUAAAAUUUAGUGUUUUGGAUUAAGAUUGGAAAAUAAUAGAUUUGAAUACUAGAAGAUUUGUAGUUAAAUAUUUAAUAAUUUAGAUUUGAAGUUUAUAUUUAGAGUAUUGAAUGUUUAGUUUACGUUUGAAGUUAAGAUUUAAGAUAUAGAAUUUGAUUAAAGAUUAAAGAUAUGUGUUUAGGAAAUUAUAGAUUAAGAUUAAAAAGAUUAAAUUUUGAUUUUAAUUUUAAGAUUUGAAGUUAUAGUAUGAAAAGAUUAGAGGUUUAAAGGUUGUCUUUAAAGUUUAGGGUUUAAAACAAUGUUUAGAGUUUAAAACAUGUUUAGAGUUUAGGGGUUCAAAGAGCUUUUCUUAGCAUUAUAAAAAUGAUAUUAUAGGUCUUUUGAUAGCAUUGUUGAAGCCACUUGAAAAAUAUUAGCGCUUAAAUCUAAUAAUUCUCUAAGUGUUGGUGGUAUCUAUAACUUUAUAUUCCCGCUCGCUUAAUUUUUAAAAUAACAUUAAUUAAGUGCUAUUUUAGGUUUCACUCUGCCAUAGCGUUUAUCUAAUGCUAUAAUAUAAUACGAAAAUAUUUAAAUCAUUUACAACAGCAGUUCAGCAAAACGUGUUAUAACAAUGUGCUAUCAAUGUAGAUUUUUUUUGUAGUGUAAUAUUUAAUAAUUUAGAUUUGAAGUUUAUAUUUAGAGUAUUGAAUAUUUAGUUUACGUUUGAAGUUACCUCUAGAGCCAAUAAUAAUUUUUAUAGUAAUAGAUAUUAUACUUACUUAUUUUGAGAGAGGAGAAAUAUUUGUUACCUUUAGUAGUCAUGUACGAUGAUCCAAUAUCUGCCAUGUAUAUCUAUCUCCAUCCUGAAUCUCAAAAUCUUAUUCCGGAAGAUAAUUCUCAUAUCACGUCGAUAUUUUAUUUUCAUUUUCUGGACCAACCAGAAAAUCUGAAUCAUCAAGAUGAGUAUUCAAGCUAUGAAAAAUGGUUCGGGCUCAUAAGAGACGAAGUUUAAUAUACUUCUUUUCUUUUUUUUCUUUUUGAUUCUCGAUACAGAUCGACUAAAUAUUUGGGAAUACAACAAAUACGUACCCAAAAUUCUUUCUUGCCGCAUCUGUAGCAAACCUUUUUUGUUUGCCUUUUAUUACCCGACCACUUUCAUUUUCGUGGAAGUUCUCAUUAUUCUCAUAGGGACGGAAUCUUCUUCCUCGUCCUCUUCCACGACCAUGAUAGCGGUUUCAACCGCAUCUACACCCUCGUCCUUUUCUAAUAGGACCGACUUGAUGGUUUAGUAUAUGAUUUCUAUUUUUUUUUUCAUGGAGGAUUUAAAUCAACUCCAACUAUUUAGUGAAUCCUUUCUUUCAAGGAUUUGAUUAUCAAAUAUCUUCUAAAUCUUUUCUCAUGAUACACCUCAUCUUAUAAACCAUCAUCAAAGUGAUGUAAAAUAUCAUCGCUUUUCUUUUUCUCAUCCGAUAUAGUUUUAACUUAUCGAUGAUUUUUCAAAGCUCAUUUUCUCUCAGGUGUAUCUCUACACCUACUGCCCAGAUCAUAUAAAAAGGCAUUUACUUCGAGCUUUGUCAAAUUUGACAUGAUAACCGUUCUUAUAAAAAAAUAAUAUAAAAUAUAAAGACCGAAAUUUAAAUGCAUAAUUUAAAAGCAUAAAUUAUAUGCAUAAAUUAAAUUGCAGAAAUUUAAAGAGCAAUAAAUAAAAUUGGAGGCUUAGCCUACCACAUAAUCCGAGGAGUCAUAGACUACCAUAUUGAUCAAUAUUUUUCGAAGUCCGAAGAGACAUGGUCUACCAUUUUGACUUUUACUUUUUGUUUUCAAGAUCAGAGGAGAUAAAGUCUACCAUUUUGAUAUUUUCUUAUUUCAAGGUCCGAGGAGACUUAAUCUACCAUUUUUGACAUUUUCUUUUUAUUUACGGAAGCAAAGCCUUCCACGUAACCCUUUUUUUUCAAUUCAUGGAGGCAAAGCCUACCAUGGUUUCCCUGAUCGUGAAGGUAUAGCCUACCAUAACGAUCAGUCGGGGAAACCAACGCCUAUCAUCCCGAAAAAUAAACUGAGAAGACCUAGUCUCUCACUCUGGAACAAUAAUAAAAUUUAAAUGAAUUAAAUAUAUUGAAACACAUAAAUUUAAACAUUACCUCGGCUGGUUUAAGAUCUUUCGGAUUGAUAAACCUCGGUUGUUCAGAGCUUCGUGCUGAUAACGUGUUGUGAAUUAGAUGAGAUAAGGAAAUAUUUAUGUUUAUUUAUAAGUGUUAAUAUAUUAGUAUAUUGUUCUUUAUGUGUUUGGAAAGUAACAAAAGAAAUGUGAGAUAAUGAACACAAAUGACUUUGAUCUCUUGCUCUUAUUACUAUCACUUACAACAACAAAUGAACUCCUAUUUAUAGGAGUAGUAAGUCGGUAAAGUACACCGACGUAAGAAGAACACAAAUAUUUAUAUAGUAAGCUAAUGGGUAAUCACAAUCCAAAAUCAAUCUUAUCUUUUUGGAUCAUUAUCUUUAACAUAUAUGACUUUUUGAUAUUUUUUUUCUUUGUUUAUAAUUUUUCUAUUUUUUUGGGGGGUGGGGGGGUAAUGAUAUAAUAAACAGACCCUUCAAUUGAUUGCUUGACAAUUUUCUGGUCAUAACUUUGGUCUGUGAGUUUAGUGUAUACAACCAUUUCACAUUAAAACUACUCUAUUUAAAAGCACGGAUCAAAGGAACGACAUAAAAUUAAAACAUCAGCUAUAUGUAGCCUGAAAGCUUUCUUUGUUUCUUAAACUUAGCUUAACUUAAUUAGUAACAAGCAUAUAAAUGGUCAAGCUAACUGAGAGUAUCGAUGUUUCCACUGUCCACCAUCUCAAAAACUUCUCCAACGAUAUUAUUACAAGGCUGAGAACAAAAAUUUCCACCCUCUUACAUUCAUUUUGCAACUUAUAUGAAUCACCCAUUCCCUUUUACAAAGUACACCUAGAAAGCGUUGAUGUGUCCAGUCGUGUCCAUGUGCAUCUUUCAGAAUAUAGCUUUGAACUCCAUCACCAUAUAAUUACCCAUGCUAAAUCGAUCGAAGGUUCAACAUCAACGCCUAAACUUACGUUUUAAGAAAUUUCGAAACACCACAAAAGAACCCAUGCUAAAUCGCUCGAAACUUCAACACCACCGCCUAAAGUGAAGUUUUGAGGAACUUCGAGUCACCACAAAAUAACCAGCUGUUGUUUCCUUUUGUGUUUCAACUUUUCAAUCGAUAUAUAUUUACCGAGGAUUCAUGAGACUCAUUCUUUUUUUUGUUAACACUGGAUUUUUAUUGAAUUUGGAGAAACAUACCUGCAAAUUACAAACAAAAGAUAAGACAAUGAUAAGCAUAAAUGAUCACAAUGAUCUUACCUAUCCCCUAUUCUAGGCCGGAAAACCUGAGAAACAAUGAAAAUUGCCCUGUCCAAAGUUGAAUUUACUUCACACUGUUGCUCUACUUUUAUCCACACUAGCAGCUGGAGAAGAGCGCAGCUUGUAAUGAAGGAAACUCGUGGCCAGAAACACGUCGUGAUCCCGAAAAGAUUAGUCUUCUCUUUUGACAUUGACACCAAUCUAUAAGAUAAGAAAAUUGUUGAACCCAACACCACAGACCCGAUGUCCGAAGAUGUUCCUGGGAUGGCACAACAAUUGACAUGUCCACGUACGCGAAGGGUACUUCAGCUUUGAAUGACCAACCAAACUGAAAUACUCAUUCCGUGACUCGUUCUUGAAAACCAUGAAGCGAUUCAUAACUUUUAGUAAUAUGAAAACAAACGGCGAAGAACGUUGAAACAAUCAAUUUGAUAUGGAUGUCAUGUCUCCCUUAUCUUUGAUUCCAAGAACCACACACACAGAGCAAUUGGCAGAUGGGACUUCGCUGCCACUCUAAUACCUGCAAAAGAGAAACAAAAGAGUUUCUCCCAUCAGCGAGAAGGACCACAGCCUGAUCGAUGAUGCUGGGAUGGCUCCACCCUUAAAAUGCGCCACCACUAGAUAGAUCCGACACUUAAUGACCAAAAGAGUCGGUGACUUUUUACGAGAUUCGUCAACGGAGAACCGAAGAAACGAAGCUUCUCUUAUUUGCCAAAUCCACAGCCGAGUGAUGAUUCGGAUGUGUACAAAUCUACAAGGCCCUUGAAGCAAGUACUAGUGACAGGUCCAAACCAACCAAAGAGACUCUCUACAAAGACGGGAUGGGUCUACAAACUCCAAAACCAAACACCAAAUCCAGUGAAAACCUAGAAAAAAGAUCUGAAGCCGCAGAUGCCUUCAUGCAUGUCUCGUCGUUACUCCAUUACCUCUCGAACGCCUCCUAUACACCGAACAAAGACGUCAUCGUCGAGACAGCAGAGCAAGCAAACAUAUUGACAGGGGAAGGAGAAGAGGCUUGAGAGAUAAAAAAAAAAAGGAAAGCACAAAAUUUAAGAGAGAGGGGCCACCGGCACCGGGCACCGGCACGACGGCCGGAUACCGGUGAAGGAUUGAGAUUAGGUUGACUGCAAGGAGGAGGCGGCUAGGGUGGCCAGUAUGCAAGGAGACUCAUUCUUUGUGUAUGGCAUUGUUGGAAUAAUGGCCAUAUUAGAAGAGAUCGAAUAAUACAGAUCUCAAUUGCUGGAGAAGAUAAUUAAAAAUCAUUUAUUGGUGAUUCCCAUUAUUAUAGAAUUAAUCAUAGUUGAAGAAAUUAUGGAGUAUCUCCUUUAUCCUUGAAUCAGUAUUGAGAAUUCUAAUGCAAAAUCUUAGCAAGAAAUAGCUUAAGAGAAAAUCUAAGUAAUGCAUACACAUGAACUCAGUGAUCAAAAAGAACAAAGUAACACUGAAGAACAUCAAGGUACACAAUAUGUGUUCUCAGAAAAGAACAACAGAAAAAUGCAAAAACAUAAAAGAAUCACUAAAUAGCAUUGAGCAUCGAAGGUGGGUGACCUACAAAGAAAAGAAGCUUUCGAUGUGAUUUGGGAAAACAUGCAUGGUGAACGUGUCGUUGCUAGCAAGUCCACAGCGGCGUCCAAAGUCAUCCAAAUUCUUUCAAAGAAUACUUUUGUAGUACUGUUUCUCCUCGGAUCAAAAAAUAGAAUAUAAGAAGCUUGAUAGAAACCAUACGGAGCAAAAAUAAACUCACCAGCAUCUGUAGUACCGCUGAAAUAUAUAGAAUCCCUCCGUACACGAAGAACAAAGCGUUUCCAUUCGUGUCCAUGUGCGUCUUCCAAAAUAUAGAGUUUAACAACAUCAAAGGGAUGAUCAUGAGUAACUAAGGCUACCCUUCCCUCAUAAGGUAUAAAAAAAAGGGGCCUAAAUGGACCCUUAUCCGGAAACUUUAUAGGAUUGAAGUUCAGAUUUCGCAUCAAAGCUCAUUAUGAUAUCUUGAUCAUCACCAAGAAGACGAGCUUCAUAAUAUAUAAAUCCAUUGAAGCAUCGCCCACGUGUUCCAGUUGGGCGAUGGACAGGGCAACGUCCUUUGGUUAUAUGUCUCCAUGAUUCUUGAAUACCCAAUGUAAGAACCCGCGACUGAUCGUUAUAUUCUUCAGAUGGUACACAAAGUACUUUGUGUUUACCUUCAGUGGAUCGUAUCCUAAUAAGUAAGACCAAUCGUUUGGACUCGAGCUGUGUUUACCAAGAUGUGGUAAGGCUAAAAACCGUCUCAAGGUUGGGUUCCAAAUCUUGAAUGCAGAUGUUAAAAUCAAUCCCUGGAUGCUCGUGGAUCGCCAAUAUUGCCAAUCUAAGUUUGUUAUUUCAUAACUGUAUAAUGGAGAAUAAGUUGACCUGUCAGGAAUCUGAUGUGAAGGAAAGAAUAAUACAUAUUUUGCGGAAUCUGAUGAGAAGGUCACCAUAAGAGUCGGUGAUCGUGAAGUGGACCGAGUCGAGAAUGUGCUGAUAAAACUAGGUAAGUGUUAUAGAAGAAGACCACAGCUUUGAAAGACAUCGAUAUCUCAUGAUUGAUUUUGCAGGAAGCCUUGAGAGUAUCUCCAAGGCUAGAUCAAGAGGAAUAUGGUUUGGUUGUGAUCUUUCAUCUCUGGAUCUCUCUCGUCUUCUCCUCUUGUUCAUCCAUGGCUGAUUGCUCAACAAUACUUUCUUCUUAAAAAUCCUCAUUCUUAAUUUCCUCCAGUUAUAUUCCCUCUUUAGGGUUCCAUAUAUAUACGCUUAAUAUAAAUUAUACAUCGUAUUUGUAUUUAAAUAAAUUAUAUAAAGCUUGGUUGCUAAUUAAUUUUCUCUCUUAAAAAAUGUAAAACCAAAAAAAUAUUUACUAAUUAACAUGAUUGGAACAUACGACGAUAAAAAUUCAAAAUUAUGACAUAUGUUAAAAAAAUCUCUAAACUAUAUAAUAAUAUAAUAGUAAUUUACCUUUUAAAACAUCCUAAACCAAAAAUUAAGAUUUGAUUCCUUAUAAAUAAUAGUCAGUUUAAUUAUAUUUUAUCUUUGACUGAACGUUAAUGUUAAUUAUAUUGCAAAAAUUACUUAAUUUUUUUUUAAGAAUACAGAUCAAUUUAUAUUGCAUGCUUAUUCGCUUAGGAACUGCACCAUGAAAGAUACCGACAAUGGUCUUAGAAUCAAGAGUUGGGGUGGUUCGUCUCCAAGCACGGCUGUGGUCCUGUGGACAUCACCUAUGAAGAUAUUAUGAUGACAAACGUCAAUAACCCAAUCAUCAUUGACCAAAAAUACGACUCAAGAGUCGGAGUAAGUAUAUAUACCAGAGAAAAUCUCAAACCAAAAUAGAGAUUUAGUAUAAUUACUGUUCUUCCGCUAGUUAUCUUCUUCGUUCUUCUGUAAAAACUUAAAAAUUUGGUAUAAUAAAUUUAACAUUUUACCAAAAAAAAAAAAAAAUCUCAAACCAAAAUCGGCGUCAAGAGGUUUCAUCGGAGAUCUUUGUGACAACGCAAAUGUUGUCUUCGUAUAUUUUGUUUCUAACUGUUAUUUUAGUAUCAUAUUUCGACUGAUAUAAAUUAAUAAUUUAAAUAAAAGAAUAAUAUAUUUGAUUUAGUAUAAAAAUUUUGAACAUAAAUAUUUAAAAUGGAUAAAACUAAAACUUAAACAAAAAGUAAAUAUGUGCUUUCAUAAUAUCAAGAACAUGUUUAUUAUUUUGUAUUUGGUAUCAACUCUCAUAUUUAGUCUAAUUUGGAUAUAAACCUAAAUCUUUCAAAAUAAAAGAAUAUCACUAUUAACUUGUGUGUAUACUUCUUUUUGAAGGUUUGUAGUUCGAAUAUAUCACUUUGAUUUAUAAAUUUCAUCCCAUAUAUUGUGUAAUAUUUCUAUAUUUACUAUAAAAAAGCUCGUGUAUCUCUCACAAAAAUUAUUUUGUUAUGACUUGUCAAUGCCACACUCUCUCUUGCUCUAUUUCCGCAACCUCUUAUCUUCAAUAUCUUUGUCGUGGAAACUUUGAUUAUUUACAUUAUAUUAGUUUGCACAUUUCAUUAUAUCUUCCAUAUUUCACUGUAACUUGUAAUAUGGAAAAUAUGCAAACUGAUAUAAUGUAAAUAAUUAAAGUUUUUAUCUAAAGGAAAUCAAUAUCUAAAUAUUUAUUUUUGUAACUUGAUAUAUAUACAACUAUUUUAGAUAGAAUAGACAAACUUGAAAUAAUUUAGAAUUGCUGUAAAGUUGUUCUCUAUCUUGUAUAUUUAACAAAUUCACUUUUUAUUUGUUAUAUAAAAUCAAUUCAUAUAUUUUAAAGUUGUUAUUUAUUUAUUAUAUUUAAUUUAUAUAUAAAUGUUUUAUAACGGUUUAAAAGGUAAAGAUUGAUAAAAGAACACUUAUUAUUUUCUUUUCUAUAGCACAAAACUGUUUUUUAAAAGAUAAGGGUUUCGUCUCUCUUGAUUAUAAUUGCAUAAUGUGUUGUGAAUUUGUGCUGAGAGUUUUCAUACUGUUUUGAAUGCGAAGAUUUUAACAUGGCAAAUCAAAAUUCAGAAUUAAAAAGCUACAAAAACUUCUAAUAGCUUCCUUUUGUUAUUUCCGUAGAGUAUAAAAAUGAUAAUUCUUAUCCAACACGUUUAGCUGACUAAUAUAAACAAAUACCCAGAGUCAAGCUUUUAGGCUGCAAACAUUUCCUCUGUACUUCAAGUGAGACACGACCACACUUGUGAUGGUCAGAAAACGACAACUGAACAUCCCACUGGAUGAGACCAAUCAUCGAAACAAAAGAUCUAACGUUGGAAAGUGUGGCUUGUGCUUGGUGAUAUCAAACUGAGUUAUGCCAAAAGCAUCCUUGAUGUUAAUAUCGAUCAAUUUCACAGCAUAUAAACAAACUCCAAAGUAACAUUCCCCGGGAUUGCCAAGUGAUAGGCCGUCUGUUCCUUCAUGUUUCUAUAGUUCACAACAUCUCCGGAGGACUUCGAGGCGGCAUAUGUGAUAGGAAAGUUCGUGAUCUCAAUUUAAAGAUUAGUCUUCUCUUUUGACAUUGACACCAAUCUGCUAAGAUAAGAAAAUUGUUGAACCCAACACCACAGACCCGAUGUCCGAAGAUGUUCCUGGGAUGGCACAACAAUUGACAUGUCCACACGAAGGGUACUUCAGCUUUUAAUGACCAACCAAACUGAAAUACUCAUUCCAUGACUCGUUCUUGAAAACCAAGAAGCGAUUCUUAACUUUCAGUGAUAUGAAAACAAACGGCGAAGAACUUUGAAACAAUCAAUUUGAUAUGGAUGUCAUGUCUCCCUUAUCUUUGAUUCCAAGAACCACACACACAGAGUAAUUGUCAUAUGGGACUUCGCUGCCACUCUAAUACCUGAAAAAGAGAAACAAAAGAGUUUCGUCCAUCAGCGAGAAGGACCACAGCCUGAUCGAUGAUGCUGGGAUGGCUCCACCCUUAAAACGCGCCACCACUAAAUAGAUCUCCGACACUAAUGACCAAAAGAGCUGGUGACUUUUUACGGGAUUCGUCAACGAGAACCAAAGAAACGAAACUUCUCUUAUUUACCAAAUCCACAGCCGAGUGAUGAUUUACAAAUCUACAAGGCCCUUGAAGCAAGUACUAGUGACAGAUCCAAACCAACCAAAGAGACUCUCUACAAAGACGGGAUGGGUCUACAAACUACAAACUCCAAAACCAAACACCAAAUCCAGUGAAAACCUAGAAAAAAGAUCUGAAGCCGCUGAUGCCUUCAUGCAUGUCUCGUCGUUACUCCAUUACCUCUCGAACGCCUCCUAUACACGGAACAAAGACGUCAUCGUCGAGACAGCAGAGCAAGCAAACAUAUUGACAGGGGAAGGAGAAGAGGCUUGAGAGAUAAACAAAAGCAAAGAACAAAAUUUAAGAGAGAGGGGCCAGUAUGCAAGGAGACUCAUUCUUUGUGUAUGGCAUUGUUGGAAUAAUGGCCAUAUUAGAAGAGAUCGAAUAAUACAGAUCUCAAUUGCUGGAGAAGAUAAUUAAAAAUCAUUUAUUGGUGAUUCCCAUUAUUAUAGAAUUAAUCAUAGUUGAAGAAAUUAUGGAGUAUCUCCUUUAUCCUUGAAUCAGUAUUGAGAAUUCUAAUGCAAAAUCUUAGCAAGAAAUAGCUUAAGAGAAAAUCUAAGUAAUGCAUACACAUGAACUCAGUGAUCAAAAAGAACAAAGUAACACUGAAGAACAUCAAGGUACACAAUAUGUGUUCUCAGAAAAGAACAACAGAAAAAUGCAAAAACAUAAAAGAAUCACUAAAUAGCAUUGAGCAUCGAAGGUGGGUGACCUACAAAGAAAAGAAGCUUUCGAUGUGAUUUGGGAAAACAUGCAUGGUGAACGUGUCGUUGCUAGCAAGUCCACAGCGGCGUCCAAAGUCAUCCAAAUUCUUUCAAAGAAUACUUUUGUAGUACUGUUUCUCCUCGGAUCAAAAAAUAGAAUAUAAGAAGCUUGAUAGAAACCAUACGGAGCAAAAAUAAACUCACCAGCAUCUGUAGUACCGCUGAAAUAUAUAGAAUCCCUCCGUACACGAAGAACAAAGCGUUUCCAUUCGUGUCCAUGUGCGUCUUCCAAAAUAUAGAGUUUAACAACAUCAAAGGGAUGAUCAUGAGUAACUAAGGCUACCCUUCCCUCAUAAGGUAUAAAAAAAAGGGGCCUAAAUGGACCCUUAUCCGGAAACUUUAUAGGAUUGAAGUUCAGAUUUCGCAUCAAAGCUCAUUAUGAUAUCUUGAUCAUCACCAAGAAGACGAGCUUCAUAAUAUAUAAAUCCAUUGAAGCAUCGGCCACGUGUUCCAGUUGGGCGAUGGACAGGGCAACGUCCUUUGGUUAUAUGUCUCCAUGAUUCUUGAAUACCCAAUGUAAGAACCCGCGACUGAUCGUUAUAUUCUUCAGAUGGUACACAAAGUACUUUGUGUUUACCUUCAGUGGAUCGUAUCCUAAUAAGUAAGACCAAUCGUUUGGACUCGAGCUGUGUUUACCAAGAUGUGGUAAGGCUAAAAACCGUCUCAAGGUUGGGUUCCAAAUCUUGAAUGCAGAUGUUAAAAUCAAUCCCUGGAUGCUCGUGGAUCGCCAAUAUUGCCAAUCUAAGUUUGUUAUUUCAUAACUGUAUAAUGGAGAAUAAGUUGACCUGUCAGGAAUCUGAUGUGAAGGAAAGAAUAAUACAUAUUUUGCGGAAUCUGAUGAGAAGGUCACCAUAAGAGUCGGUGAUCGUGAAGUGGACCGAGUCGAGAAUGUGCUGAUAAAACUAGGUAAGUGUUAUAGAAGAAGACCACAGCUUUGAAAGACAUCGAUAUCUCAUGAUUGAUUUUGCAGGAAGCCUUGAGAGUAUCUCCAAGGCUAGAUCAAGAGGAAUAUGGUUUGGUUGUGAUCUUUCAUCUCUGGAUCUCUCUCGUCUUCUCCUCUUGUUCAUCCAUGGCUGAUUGCUCAACAAUACUUUCUUCUUAAAAAUCCUCAUUCUUAAUUUCCUCCAGUUAUAUUCCCUCUUUAGGGUUCCAUAUAUAUACGCUUAAUAUAAAUUAUACAUCGUAUUUGUAUUUAAAUAAAUUAUAUAAAGCUUGGUUGCUAAUUAAUUUUCUCUCUUAAAAAAUGUAAAACCAAAAAAAUAUUUACUAAUUAACAUGAUUGGAACAUACGACGAUAAAAAUUCAAAAUUAUGACAUAUGUUAAAAAAAUCUCUAAACUAUAUAAUAAUAUAAUAGUAAUUUACCUUUUAAAACAUCCUAAACCAAAAAUUAAGAUUUGAUUCCUUAUAAAUAAUAGUCAGUUUAAUUAUAUUUUAUCUUUGACUGAACGUUAAUGUUAAUUAUAUUGCAAAAAUUACUUAAUUUUUUUUUAAGAAUACAGAUCAAUUUAUAUUGCAUGCUUAUUCGCUUAGGAACUGCACCAUGAAAGAUACCGACAAUGGUCUUAGAAUCAAGAGUUGGGGUGGUUCGUCUCCAAGCACGGCUGUGGUCCUGUGGACAUCACCUAUGAAGAUAUUAUGAUGACAAACGUCAAUAACCCAAUCAUCAUUGACCAAAAAUACGACUCA